AUAUAUAUAUAUAGAGAGAGAGAGAGAGAGAGAGAAAAAGAGAGAGAGAGAGAGAGAGAGAGAGAGAGAGAGAGAGAGAGUCCGGCUACUAUGCUAUUAAUAGCACGAAGCACUCGGUGCUAUCAAGUUUUCCGCCGUUAGAUCUACCCUUUUGAUCAUUUUCACCCGUUAGAUUAUACUAUUCAAGCAACCACCCACUCAAUCCUAGGGGGCCCAUAUCAUCCUAACCGCACAUCUCUUAAUCCAAUGACCAAAAACUUUGUAGCACCAAUGACUUUGUGCUAUUAAUAGUAUAUUAGCCUAUAUAUAUAUAUAUAUNN
rnacentral:lncRNA from 1 species